rnacentral:tRNA from 1 species
CAGGGCAUAAUUUAGUUAGAAUGCCGGCUUUGGGGGUCGGUAGUAGAGGUUUGAGUCCUCUUGCCCUGA